AUCCGAUCUGUAUCUUGGCGGGGCAUACUGUUUUAUGCAGCCAUGGCGUGGUUUGACCCUCUUUUUGCUCGAGCGUAACACAGAUUUGAGCCUCAAUUUACUGGUCUCUUCGUCCAUUUCAAUUGAGGGAGUAUUAUUAGCAGCUUCAGGGUACUAUAAGCAAAAGUUCAUAAAUAAAAAAUGAGGCUAACAGGGCUUUUGAUUUUUUUUUUGUUGAAAGGGUGGUUGACUCUCUCUGCAUUCAGCCAAUGCAUUCUCCAUACUUUGCUUUUAUUGCUUCGGAUGGCUUGGAAGAGGCGAUGAUGAUUCUUGUAACUUUAUUCCCUUCUGAGCUGAUUAAUUGAGCAUUGGAGGUUAUCCGACCCGUAUCUUGGCGGGGCAUGCUGGUUUUUGCAGCCAUGGCGUGGUUGGACUCUCUUUAUACUCUAGUUUAACACAGAUCUGAGCCUCAAUGCACUGAUCUCUUCGUCAAUUUAAACUGAGGGAGUAGUAUUACCAGCUUCAGGGUACUAUAAGAAUGAGGCUAACAGGGAGUUUGAGGAUUUUCGUUGAAAGGGUGGUUGCCUCUCUCUGCAGUCAGUCAAUGAUUUCUCCAUUAUUGUAAGAAUCCCAACAACCCUCUUAUCAAUUUUAAACAGAGGAAGUAUAUGAUUAUCAACUUUUGUUUGAAAUGGGUUUCUAUAUGCCCUUCCAACUCUUUUUUUCAACUCCUUUUUAAUGCUUCCGCUGGAUCAUUGAUUGUUGCCACUGGAGCUGGUGGAAGCAAUGGUGCUGAGAAUAAUUGGACAGCUUGAAAGAGGCAAUGAUGAUUUUUGCCAAUGUUUAUUCCCUUCUGAGCUGAUUAAUCGGGCAUUUGAGGUUAUCCAACCCGUAUAUUGGCGGGGCAUGCUCCCAGAUUUUCUGGUGGCUUUUGCAGCCAUGGCGUGGUUGGAAUCUCUUGUUGCCUGAGCUUAACACAAAUCUGAGCCUCAAAUUUUUCUCUGUUCAGCUUGGCUUUUUUUGUUAUAUUUAGGGUAUGUUUGGUAUGAAGGAAAAUGUUAUCGAGAGUUGAGAUACAAAAAACGAAAAGCUCAGAAGGGAAUGAAUGAGGCUACAAAGAGUUGAGGAUUUUCAUUGAAAGGGUGGUUGCCUCUCUCAACAUUCAGCCAAUGAUAUCUCCAUUACUAGGUUUUUAUGCCCUUCAUCUCUUCUUUUCAACUCCUUUUUAAUUCUUCUGCCGGAGCAUUGAAUGUUGCCGGUGGAGCUGGUGGAAGCUAUGGUGGUGAGUAUAAUUGGACGGUUUGAAAGAGGCGAUGAUGAUCUUUGUCAAUUUUAUUCCCUUGUAAGCUGAUUAAUUGAGCAUUUAAGGUUAUCCGACCCGUAUCUUGGUGGGGCAUACUGGUUUAUGCAGCCAUGGCGUGGUUGACUCUCUUUUUGCUCGAUCUUAACACAGAUCUGAGCCUCAAUUUAGCGGUCUCUUUGUUAAUUUUAACUGAGGGAGUAUUGUUAACAGCUUCAGGGUACUAUAAACAAAAGCUUAGAAGGAAAAGAAUGAGGCUAACAGUGAGUUUGAGGAUUUUUCAUUGGAAGGGUGGUUGCCUCUCUCUGCUUUCAGCCAGUGAUUUCCCCAUUACUGUAACAAUCCCAACCGCCUUUUUAUCGAUUUUAAACAGAGGAAGUAUAUAAUUAGCAACUUUUGUUUGAAAUGGGUUUCUAUGCCUUUCAACUCUUUUUUUUUCUUUUUUCUAAUGCUUCUGCUGGAGCAUUGAUUGUUGCCAGUGGAGCUGGUGGAAGCAAUGGUGCUGAGUAUAAUCGGACGGCUUGAAAGAGGCGAUGAUGAUUUUUGCCAAUUUUUAUUCCCUUUUGUGCUGAUUAAUUGGGCAUUUUGAUGUUAUCUGACCCGUAUCUUGGCGGGGCAUGCUCCCAGAUUUUCUGGUGGUUUUUGCAGCCAUGGCGUGGUUGGACUCUCUUGUUGCCCAAGCUUAACGCAGAUCUGAGUCUCAAUUUUUCUCUAUUCUGCUUGGGCUCUUCUUUGCUUAAUGUUAAGGGUGUGUUUGGCAUGAAGGAAAAUGUUUUCGAGAGUUGAGAAACAAAAAGCAAAAAGCUCAGAAGGGGGAGUGAGGCUACAGAGAGUUGAAGAUUUUUCAUUGAAAGGGUGGUUGCCUCUCUCAACAUUCAGCCAAUGAUUUCUCCAUUACUGUAAGGAUCCCAACAACCCUUUUAUCAGUUUUAAACGGAGGGAGUACAUAAAUAACAGCUUGUUUGGAUUGUUGUUACAUAUUGUUUUAAGGGUUUCUAUGCCCUUCAACUCUUUUUUCAACUCCUUUUUAAUGCUUCCGCCGGAGCAUUGAAUGUUGCCGGUGGAAGCGAUGUUGGUGAGUAUAAUCGGACGGCUUGAAAGAGGUGAUGAUGAUUUUUGCCAAUUUUUGUUCCCUUAUGAGCUGAUUAAUCGAGCAUUUUGAGAUUAUCAGACCCGUAUCUUGGCGGGGCAUGCCACCAGCUUUUCUGGUGAUUUUUGCAGCCAUGGCAUGGUUGGACUCUCCUUUUGCCCAAGCUGAGCUGAUUAAUCGGGCAUUUGAGGUUAUCAGACCCGUAUCUUGGUGGGCCACCAGUUUUUCUUGUGGUUUUUGCAGCCAUGGCGUGGUUGGACUCUCCUUUUGCCGCCCAAGCUUAACACAGAUCUGAGUCUCAAUUUUUCUCUAUUCAGCUUUGGCUUCUUUUUUUUUUGUUUAAUAUCAAGGGUGUGUUUGAUAUGAAAGAAAAUGUUUUCAAGAGUUGAGAAACAAAUGUCAAAAAUCUCAGUAGGGAAAGAAUGAGGCAACAGAGAGUUGAGGAUUUUUCAUUGUAAGGGUGGUUGCCACUCUCUGCAUCAGCCAAUUAUUUCUCCCUUGAUUGCAUUCUCUUUUCUCUAAUGCUUCUGCCGGAGCAUUGAUUGUUGCUGGUGGAAGUGAUGGUGCUGAGUGUAAUUGGAUGGCUUAAAAGAGGCAAUGAUGAUUUUUGCCAAUGUUUAUUCCUUUCUGAGCUCUGAUUAAUUGGGCAUUUGAGGUUAUCCAAACUGUAUCUUGGCGGGGCAUGCUCCCAGAUUUUCUGGUGGUUUUUGCAGCCAUGGAGUUGUUGGACUCUCUUGUUUCCCGAGCUUAACACAAAUCUGAGCCUCGAUUUUUCUCUAUUCAGCUUGGCCUUUUUUUGUUAUAUUUAGGGUGUGUUCCAUAUGAAGGAAAAUGUUUGAGUUGAGAAACAAAGCAAAAAGUUCAGAAGGGAAUGAAUGAGGCUACAGAGACUUGAGGAUUUUUCAUUGAUAGGGUGGUUGCCUCUCUCAACAUUCAGCCAAUGAUUUCCGUUAACUGUAAGAAUCCCAACAACCCUUUUAUCUGUACAAUAUCAAAGUGAAAAGUAAGAACACCCCUGAACUUGGCGCAAAUUAUCAAUUUCGUCUCCGAUCUAUUGACAGCCUUAAAAAACACCCCUCUAUUUGACUAACUAAACUUAGAUACAUCCUCGAUCUGUCAUAUCAAUGACAUAGCAAGCGGUCUCAAACUCUUGUAGGAGCAUGAGACUCUUAAUAAAAAAUCGAAAUAAGUGUUAAAAACACCCUAAACUUGACGAGAAUUUAGGGGCGUAUUUCACUCAUGUUGCAAGAUCGGGGGUGUAUUUUAGUUCAAUUAGUCAUGUAAAGGGGUGUUUUUAAGGGUCUCAAUUGUUUGGGGAUGAAACUAAUAUUUCGCACAGAGUUUAGGGGUGUUUUCAGUACUUCUCUCUAUAUUAAAAGCAUGAAAGCCCUUAGAAAUGUUGAUUGACGUAUAUAAUUAACAGCUCAUUUGGAUUGUUCUUACAUAUUGUUUAAAAGGGUUUCUAUUCCCUUCAACUCUUUUUUUAAUGCUUCUGCUGGAGCACAGAAUGUUGCCGGUGGAGCUGGUGGAAGCUAUGGUGGUGAGUAUAAUUGGACGGUUUGAAAGAGACAAUGAUGAUUUUUGUCAAUUUUUAUUCCCUUCUGAGCUGAUUAAUCGAGCAUUUGAGGUUAUCCGACCUGUAUCUUGGCGGGGCAUACUGGUUUUUGCAGCCAUGGCGUGGUUGGACUCUCGUUUUGCUCGAGCUUAACACAGAUCUGAGCCUCAAUUUACCGGUCUCUUCGUUAAGUUUAACUUAGGGAGUAUUAUUAACAGCUUCAGGGUACUAUAAGCAAAAGCUUAGAAGGAAAAGAAUGAGGCUAACAGUGAGUUUGAGGAAUUUUCAUUUGAAGGGUGGUUGCCUCUCUCUGCUUUCAGCCAGUGAUUUCCCCAUUACUGUGAGAAUCCCAACAACCUUCUUAUUGAUUUUAAACAGAGGAAGUGUAUAAUUAACAGCUUUUGUUUGAAA